GUGAGUGCACGAUCAGCGCCAUUGAGACAGAUAGAAUGUUGCGAUCUCUUUACAUCUCUAUGCCAGUGGUUCCAAACCGGCGUGCCCCCCUCCUAAAUAAAUCAAUAUAUAUAUUUUUUCGUCAACAGUUCCAUCGUAUCUUAAACUUUUUACAGGGCACUCAUUAGGACCUGGGGGAGGCUGCAGCACGCGCUAGUGACUGUUAGACUUUCUUCAGCAAAGAUGGCUGACAAAACUACUGGAUGGAAGCAAAUGUUCGGGAUGCUGAGUAAGGAGGUCGUCCCCCAUGCAGACACCGUGCUUCACUGGCUAAGCACUUAGAGGCCCUACUUUGAUAAAGGCGAGCGGGACAUGAUCAUCAUGAGGAAUGACGUGGGCCUGCGCCACUCCACAGGCGAGCUUGAGACUAAGCACAUCAGCCUGGUGGUCUACAGAGACCCCAACGGCUACUCUGCCAUGGCCAAGACCGUGGGCUACCCUGCUGCCAUCGCUGCUUGCAUGGUGCUGGAUGGUUACUAGGGUAGACUUGAGUCCUCAUUGCAUUUGUCAUGUCUGAGAUGUUAAGUAUGGUUUAGUGAGGUAAUCAGCCAUUUUGUUAAAGCCCUGAGGGAACCACUCAUUUUGCUAAAGAAGAAUGUACAACCCUAACAUGUCUGUAAAAGUGAAGUGAAAACUGACUUUCAAUCUGCAGGAGAAAUCAGUAUUAAGGGACUGGUGGUGCCAAUGACCAAGGACAUCUAUGGACUGACUCAGAAGAGACUGAAAGAGAAGUGCUUAAAAUUCACUUCAAAAGCACCAUCCAAGAGUAGUAACUCAUGAGUCAUCAGCUGCGUCUCAAAUAUUGUAUAUUGAUUUCCUUUCCUGGUGUCCUCGCCUUCAUCUACACUGAUCCAAAAAAGACCCCACACAUGAAAAAAUACAAUUCUAUUUUUCAAUUCAGUUCGAUUAUUUCAGAAGAGUGGUGAAGGCAAUAUGGUAGAAAUUGUAGGAGGACAGGAGACAAGGAGAGGAAGCCUCAGGCUAGUGAGAGAUGCACCCUGACUUUCUGCUUGUUUCAAAGGCAUUUCCUCACAGCAUCGCCUUACCUCAACCAAACAGUUACAUUGCAGGUGAACAGUUUCCAAGCAACUUUAAAUAAGGCUGUACAUGGAGAACCACAACUUGCUGAGUGUCGUUAUAACAUGUAACGAUCUUAUAAUCUUCGCAGACCUGCUAAGACAAUGUGUAUCAGAAACUCACCCAAAGGGUCUAGUCUUUCCUUGACCAUAGCAUAUUCCUGUUAUUGAUCAGCUGCUGCACAGUUCCAAAGAUUUGUACAUAAUUUACACAUAUGCUUCCCACAGUUGUGUCAAAUUGACUGGAUGUCCUUUGGGUGGUGGACCAUUCUUGAUACAUUUACAUUUAAGUCAUUUAUCAGACGCACUUAUCCAGAGCGACUUACAGUAGAGUGCAUACAUUUUAUUACAUUUUUACAUACUGAGACAAGGAUAUCCCUACCGGCCAAACCCUCCCUAACCCGGACAACGCUAUGCCAAUUGUGCGUCGCCCCACGGACCUCCCGGUUGCGGCCGGCUGCGACAGAGCCUGGGCGCGAACCCAGCCCAGCCUGGGUGCGAACCUAGAGCCCUAGACCACUGCACCACCCGGGAGGUAGGGAACUGUGUGAAAAACCCAGCAGGGAAAGGCUGAAAAACCCAGCAGCGUUGCAGUUCUUGACACAAUCCAACCGGUGCGCCCGGCACCUACUACCAUACCACGUUCAAAGGCACUUACAUCUUUUGUCUUGCCUAUUCUCCCUCUGAAUGGCACACAUACACAAUCCAUGUCUCAAGGCUUAAAAAACUUUUUUUAACCUACUGUAUCUCCCCUUUAUCUACACUGAAGUGGAUUUAAUAAGUGACAUUUGUAAGGGAUCAUAGCUUUCAUCUGGAUUCACCUGGUCAGUCUGUCAUGGAAAGAGCAGGCGUCCUUAAAGUUUUGUAUACUCAGUCUAUAUUUGUAUUUUAAAACUGCUCAGAGAUUAUAAUGUGGCAUAGAGUACAGUUGAAGACAGAAGUUUACAUACACCUUUGCCAAAUAUAUUUAAACUCAGUUUUUCACAAUUCCUGACAUUUAAUCCUGGUAAAAAAAUCCCUGUUUUAGGUCAGUUAGGGUCACCACUUUAUUUUAAGAAUGUGAAAUGUCAGAAUAAUCAAAUCAAAAUCAAAUGUAAUUUUUUAUUUGUCACAUACACAUGGUUAGCAGAUGUUAAUGCGAGUGUAGCGAAAUGCUUGUGCUUCUAGUUCCAACAAUGCAGUAAUAACCAACGAGUAAUCUAACCUAACAAUUUCACAACAACUACCUUAUACACACAAGUGUAAAGGAAUGAAGAAUAUGUACAUAAAAAUAUAUGGAUGAGUGAUGGUGCAGAACGGCAAGAUGCAGUAGAUGGUAUAGAGUACAGUAUAUACAUAUGUGAUGAGUAAUGUAGGGUAUGUAAACAUAUAAAGUGGCAUUGUUUAAAGUGGCUAGUGAUACAUGUAUUACAUCACGAUGCAGUAGAUGGUAUAGAGUACAGUAUAUACAUAUGUGAUGAGUAAUGUAGGGUAUGUAAACAUAUAAAAGUGGCAUUGUUUAAAGUGGCUAGUGAUACAUGUAUUACAUCACGAUGCAGUAGAUGGUAUAGAGUACAGUAUAUACAUAUGAGAUGAGUAAUGUAGGGCAUGUAAACAUCAUAUGAAGUGGCAUUGUUUAAAGUGGCUAGUGAUACAUACAAUUUUUACAUUGCUAAAGUUGCUGGUGUUAGUGGUGGCUGUUUAACAGUCUGAUGGCCUUGAGAUAGAAGCUGUUUUUCAGUCUUUCGGUCCCAGCUUUGAUGCACCUUACUGACCCUGCCUUCUGGAUGGUAGCGGGGUGAACAGGCAGUGGCUCGGGUGGUUGAUGUCCUUGAUGAUCUUUAUGGCCUUCCUGUGAAAUUGGGUGGUGUAGGUGUCCUGGAGGGCAGGUAGUUUGCCCGCCGGUGAUGAGUUGUGCAGACCUCACUACCCUCUGGAGAGCCUUACGGUUGUGGGCGGAGCAGUUGCCGUACCAGGCGGUGAUACAGCCCGACAGGAUGCUCUCGAUUGUGCAUCUGUAAAAGUUUGUGAGUGCUUUUGGUGACAAGCCGAAUUUCUUCAGCCUUCUUCCUUGCUGAUUGGUAAUAUAGCUGAAUUGCUUUCCGUAACAGCAUUUUUAGGUCUGGUUCCCAAAGAGAUUAUUUUUAGUUGACAUGAGCUAUGGUUCCAGUGAGGCACCGAUUACCAAUAAAGUAUGCAUUUUAUCUCUGUACCAUAUCAAAUGUUACUCGUCAACUAUUGACAUUUCUGUAUAAUCAAUGAUAAAUACAGUGUAUGCAUCCAUUCUGUUUUCAAUGGA